rnacentral:piRNA from 1 species
UUGUCACAAGCGCCCCGUUGCAG